rnacentral:rRNA from 1 species
UUUUUUUUGUGGCCUCCCUUAUAGCAGCAGUCGACGAAUCCCGGGGUGCAAUACCUCGGGGGAAGUGGCGAAAGGGGCAGUAAUACAUGGGUAACCUACCCUGGGGAUGGGCAUAGCCGGCCUAACGGCCGGGUAAUUCCCAGAGAGUCGACGGGUUGGCAUCAAUCUGUCGGGAAAUGAAUUUCGCCUCGGGAGGGGCCCAUGCGAUAUCAGCUAGUUGGUGGGGUAACGGCCCACCAAGGCUUAGACGUCUAGCGGGUGUGAGAGCACGACCCGCGCCACUGGCACUGAGACACUGGCCAGACACCUACGGGUGGCUGCAGUCGAGGAUCUUCGUCAAUGGGCGCAAGCCUGAACGAGCGAUGCCGCGUGAGCGAUGAAGGCCUUCGGGUUGUAAAGCACUGUCGUGGGGGGGGAAACCUGACCCCCCCCAGGAGGAAGCACGGGCUAAGUUCGUGCCAGCAGCCGCGGUAAUA